GAUGAACGCUAGCGGCAGGCUUAAUACAUGCAAGUCGUGGGGCAGCAGGACUGUAGUAAUACAGUUGCUGGCGACCUGCAAACCGGUGGGGAACACGUACGGAACCUACCCUGAACUGGGGGAUAGCCCGGGGAAACCCGGAGUAAUACCCCGUAAUAUAAUGGAGUGGCAUCACUUUAUUAUUAAAGCUCCGGCGGUUCGGGAUGGGCGUGCGGCUGAUUAGGUAGUUGGUUGAGGUAACGGCUCACCAAGCCUACGAUCAGUAACUGGUGUGAGAGCACGCCCAAUCACACGGGCACUGAGACACGGGCCCGUCUCCUACGGGAGGGAGGAGUAAAGUAUAGUGGGCACGGGAGGCAACUCUGGCCCAGCCGUGGCGGGUGGAGGAUGAAGGCUCUCUGGGUGGUACUCUUCUGUUAUAGGGGACGAACCGUGUGUAUUCUUACGGAGUUGACGGUACCCUAGGAAUAAGCACCGGCUAACUCCGUG
rnacentral:rRNA from 1 species